rnacentral:rRNA from 1 species
UACGUAGGGGGCAAGCGUUGUCCGGAUUUAUUGGGCGUAAAGAGCGUGUAGGCGGCCAUACAGGUCAGCUGUGAAAACUCGAGGCUCAACCUCGAGACGUCGGUUGAAACCGUAUGGCUAGAGUCCGGAAGAGGAGAGUGGAAUUCCCGGUGUAGCGGUGAAAUGCGCAGAUAUCAGGAGGAACACCAAUGGCGAAGGCAGCUCGCUGGGACGUGACUGACGCUGAGACGCGAAAGCGUGGGGAGCAAACAGG